rnacentral:piRNA from 1 species
UACUUUUAACAGUGGUCACCUUGUGC